CUCCCACAAGCCUGGUCCCAACCGGGAAGGGGCCACCAACAGAAAGGAGCCACCCAAUGCCACCCACCACGACGCGCCCUUCUCCCCGGCACUGCCAGGGGUGCCGGGUGGCCAGAGGUCAGCGCUUGGUCAUUCCAGGCAGCUGAGCUGUCCCUGAGGAGACUGUGACCAGGGCCUUCCCUAGAAAUUCCAGGAAACAGAGGAGACCCACGAUCCCCCUACUCCCCAGCUCCUGUUCCCCCUUGUUAGUGAGGAGCCUGGGCCCUUAAUCUUGUUUUUUCAGAUGCUUUGUGGGGUUCUCUUCCUGGCCCACCUGCUGACUAAAACACUUCACAACGGCUCACUUGUGUCUUUUGCAUGUGGGCUUGAGUCCAGGGCUACUCAAAGGGCGGUCUGCGGACCAGCAGCAUCAGCCUCACCUGGAGCCUUGUUAGAAAUGCUGAUUCUCAGGCCCUGACCCAGACCUGCGGAAACAGAUGCUGUGGAAAGGGGCCCAGCCAUCUGCAUGGGCAAGUCCUUGGGAGGCGCCGUGCACGCGCAGGCUUGUAUAGUGCGAAGCUGGACUGCAGGUUUCUGGAAGCUUGCUUUUAUCUCUUCUGUGUACUGUAGGGUCCCUAGAAGCAGAGGACUGUCCAGCAGUCAGCAGGUGCUCAACCCACGUUCACAAAGAACAGGUGACAUAAGCGAGAGGAAGAGUCAAACAUCCAGAUUGCCUCAGCCAACCUGGUUCCCAGUGAAUGCCAGAAGCCGCCUGGACAGGGGCUCUUUCAAUGCUGUCCUUCUCGUGCUGGGUCUGAACCAGUACCAGGCUGACGUCUGAGAUACGCUGACCGCCUCCUGUGUCAGACACUGUGCUGGGCACUGGGGCUCCCAGAGUCAACAAAAAGAUUCAGUGUUUACGCUUAUGGUGCUUCCAUUUUAAAUUAAGGAAGACAGAUAGUUAAAUAAUUUCAAUAAAAUAAAAUGUUACAAGUAUUAGCAAAGUGUUAAAGUUUCUGUUAGUUACACACCAUCUCAACACAUCUCUUGCGCUCUUGACUUGUCAUUGGUG
rnacentral:lncRNA from 1 species